GAUGAAGAACGUAGCGAAAUGCGAUAAGUAAUGUGAAUUGCAGAAUUCAGUGAAUCAUCGAAUCUUUGAACGCACCUUGCACCCUUUGGACUGCUCCAAAGGGUAUGCUCGUUUGAGUGUCAUUGUACUCUCACACUCUCUGAUCCUUUGGAUUUGGGGAGCAGUGGACUUGGGUGCUUGCUGCUUCCUUGUGGCUCACCUGAAAUGCAUCAGUGCAUCUCUCGAUUGGACAUAGUACGGCGUGAUAAGUGUCUUCGCCGGCACCUCAUAUGAGGGUGGCAGAUCGGGAGCUCUGUGCUUUCAAACCGUCUUCGGACAACGCUGACAACUUGACCUCAAAUCGAGUAGGACUACCCGCUGAACUUAAGCAUAUCAAUAAGCGGAGGA
rnacentral:misc_RNA from 1 species